rnacentral:rRNA from 1 species
GACGAACGCUGGCGGCGUGCUUAACACAUGCAAGUCGAACGAUGAACCCGGAGCUUGCUCCGGCGGAUUAGUGGCGAACGGGUGAGUAACACGUGAGUAACCUGCCCUUGACUCUGGGAUAACUGCGGGAAACUGUAGCUAAUACCGGAUACGACCCUCGGCGGCAUCGCCAGGGGGUGGAAAGAAUUUCGGUCAAGGAUGGACUCGCGGCCUAUCAGCUAGUUGGUGAGGUAACGGCUCACCAAGGCGACGACGGGUAGGCGGCCUGAGAGGGUGCCCGGCCACACUGGGACUGAGACACGGCCCAGACUCCUACGGGAGGCAGCAGUGGGGAAUAUUGCACAAUGGGCGCAAGCCUGAUGCAGCAACGCCGCGUGAGGGAUGACGGCCUUCGGGUCGUAAACCUCUUUUAGUAGGGAAGAAGCGAAAGUGACGGUACCUGCAGAAAAAGCACCGGCUAACAACGUGCCAGCCGCCGCCGUAA